rnacentral:rRNA from 1 species
GACGACGCUGGCGGCGUGCCUAACACAUGCAAGUCGAGCGGAGUCGAUCGCGGAAGCCUUCGGGCGGAAGAUGGUUGACUUAGCGGCGGAUGGGUGAGUAACGCGUGGGCAACCUGCCUCGAAGACCGGGAUAACAGCCCGAAAGGGCUGCUAAUACCGGAUGUGGUCAAAGAUCCGCAUGGAUUUUGAUUAAAGGGGAAACCCGUUUCGAGAUGGGCCCGCGUCCUAUCAGCUAGUUGGUGGGUAAAAGCUCACCAAGGCGACGACGGGUAGCCGGCCUGAGAGGGUGACCGGCCACACUGGAACUGAGACACGGUCCAGACUCCUACGGGGGGCAGCAGUGGGGAAUCUUCCACAAUGGGCGAAAGCCUGAUGGAGCGACGCCGCGUGAGCGAAGAAGGCCUUCGGGUUGUAAAGCUCUGUCUGGAGGGACGAAGGAAGUGACGGUACCUCCGGAGGAAGCCACGGCUAACUACGUG